UUAAAUUCAGAGUAGUGAUGUUACUACCAGGCAGUAACAUCAUAUUGCAGCAUAUUCCACUUGUAGGUUGGAAACACUGAAGGGAAUUUCAGGAGCUGACAGGAGUUUUAAUCUCUGUGCCCUUCACUAGCCUAAGCCAAAUGAAAAUCUUGACAAUCCACUUCAGCAGGGAUUACAGGAGCAGUGCUGGAAAUUUCUAGGCAGAAGACCCAAAGCUGUUGAUAAGAAUACACAAAGUUAUUAAGCUAAAGUGAAGAAGGCAUCAAUCAUUUCGAAAGGGUACUAUUUGAUUCUUUCCUCAAAGUCCAAUCUGACCUGACACCAGCCUAACAACAUCCUUUUAUUCUAUACAGGUGCAUAACUGUCUCAUUCUGCUACAUUGUUAAUAGGGCCAGUAACAAAAAAUAAAAAUAUGACCCCGCCGCCCCCACCCCCCCAGCAAUGUCAAUGUAUAUAACGGGAAUGAAGGAAGGGGAAAAUAGAAGAGGUUAAAGGUUUACAGAUAUAGAAAGAAAAUGCCUUUCAAAUACUAAUUUAAACUUGUUCUGUUACUGAAGGCCUGAUUGUCACCUCCAAAGAAGCAUGUAAAAAGUGACUGGCACAUGCUAUUACAUUUUGAGAUAAAAUAAAUUAAGAAAGCCUAGCAAUAUCUUUUAUCUGAAAUAUUAAAUCUACCCUUCCUCUGUAUUUUAUAUCACAGUUGCUGAAAAGAAGAGAAAGGAAAACAAAGGAAAAUAAAAGAAAGGAAGAGGAAAGAGCAGAGAACUGGUCUUAUUCAUGAAUGAAAGAGGAGACAUUCCAAGGAAACCACAGCAGAGAAGAAACUUUAGUGGUAACAAUGGAUGUCGUGGAUAAAGGACAGUAGCUGGCAAGAAAUUAUCCUGGCUUUAGAAUUGAAUUCUCCUUGGUGCAAAUUAUGCUGAUCUUUGUCAUUGAACUUGAAGCUAAUAUCCUAUCAAAAAUCAGGAUACAGGCACUGCCGCAUUCUGGGCUCCCACUGCGUCUGGAGUGGCCUGCUUAUUUAAAUGGCUGGACUUUGUGCAUGCACAAUAGAUGCUUCCUGGGAGUUGAGAGCUUUGUAAAAUUACAUUACAAAAUCAACAAUGACUGUGAUGGAUUUUGAAUUUCUUAUAUGGUGGAACAAACAGAAUAGCACAAUAUUGUCUUUCAGGUGCACACUUCAAAGAGAUUAACUAAGUGGGUGAACACCUACAUUUAAGUAAAAAACAGUAAACCCUGGAAGCAAGUUAAAUCAUAGGAUCACAGAAAUCUUGAGCUGGAAGAAACCCAUAAGGAUCAUCGAGUCCAACUCCUUAUUCCUCGCAGGACUACAUAAAACUAAAUCAUAUAGGUGGAAAAAAAGAAGCUGUCAGAGAGAUGUUCAGUUAUCCAAAUAACUGUGGCGGGUCAACACAAGUGGAGGAGUGUUCUGCAAGGCUGACAGUCUCAUUCCUGCAAAGCUGCAAGUUUAGCAUCAUAUCAUUGGACCAUAGCUAGGAAAAUCACCCAAGGCUUGUGUUCCAAACUUUGCAAAGGGAAGUCCUAAAUUUAAGGGUUUUGUCUCAUUUGUGUCUGUAUUAAUCAAAGUCUUUUCAUUCUGGACUUAAUUUGAUAUGAAAAAUAGUUGAGAAGCCAUCCCUAGAAUGGAUAGUUCAGAAAUCAGGUUCAAUAUACUUCUAAAGUAAACUAAAAAUUCAACAUGUGUUGUUACAUAUGUUCUGCAUGUUCUUCCUUAAGUCAGAAAACUAGUGACUGUAACCUAUAUCCUUUCAAAAUGCAACAGAUAUUUAAACAAAGCAAACUGCAAAAGCCAAAAUGUUCUUAUUUAUUAAUACUGAUUAUUUAGGCAAUGUGGUCUGGUCCAGAAAACUCUGUAAAGAAACAUAACUUUUAUCCAAAUCCCAAUGUUGUUCAACAGCCAGAUCACAUUUGUUCUCUGUCUGUAGGAUAGUUAUAGUUUUGUAACACAGUAAGUUCUUGUGAAAUAAAAAUGUAGCAAAGCC